ensembl:lncRNA
AAUCCCUGGCCCCUGUUUGUUUGUUUUUGAGACAGGGUCUUGCUAUGUAGUUUAGGCUAGGCUUGAACUCACUAUGUAGACCAGGAGGGCCUUGAACUCACUGUGAUUCUCCUGCCUCAGCCCUCCCAGUGCUGGCACUACUGGUGUGUGUCAUCAUGACUAGCAGAAUUUAUCAAGUUUGUCAAUCUUUUCAAGGAUUAAAAGAAUUACAAUCACUUCCGUCAAGCCAAGUAUUAAUGCAUUAACUUUAGAAAAACAAGGUCAAAUAUCCCAUACUAGUUUUGUGUUUAUGUUGUCCUCUCUUUUGAUAUUAUAAUAAAAAUAAUUUAAAAGAAAAAAAAAGCCAUAAUCUCCCUCUGAUCAUUAGGCUAACCAAAUCCCAUAAUUUUGUUGUGGUAAGCACAUAUGUACACACACAUACAGAUAAGCCAUAAGUUUUAGUUUGUUGUAUAUUCAAUGAAAAAUAUUUUAUUUUUCUUGUAACUCCUCUUUGAUCCACGGACUAUUUAGAAACGUCUUAAGUUCUGUGUUUUUCCUAGACACAUUAUUGUUGACGAUUUUAAUUUCAUUUCAUUGUGAUUGGAGUGCAUAUUCCUUAACAUAAUUUUUUUAAAUGUGUGGAGCUAUUCAUCGGUCAGGUAUAUGGUGUAUUCCAACGGCCUUAUUGUGUGUGUUUGAGAAAAAAAUGUGUAUUAUACAUCUGUUGAAUGUACAGUUUGAUAAGGGUCAGCUGGGUCAAGUGAUUCAGAUCUAUGUUCUUACCAGUUUCCAUCAUGUGUUCUGUCUAGUUACUGGGAGAGCUGUGUUAAAAUCUCCAACUAUGGGGGGUGGGGAAGGAGGUCCGGGACUCGGGACUCUGGAGGGGACGAGGUGUGGGCGCAGUAGCCUGCGCCCGAGCCAGGAUGGGAGAGGAGAAACCCGGAGGCCGUCCCCCUCCUACCCAGCCCUUCUGGGAGCGCAGCUGGUGCCCAGUGCCAGGCCAGGAGAGGUAAAGGAAUCCUGAAAGUUGCCGCUUUGGGGCUGCAAGAAUGGAGGCCCCGCUGGUGAGUCUGGAGGAAGAGUUAGAGGACCUUCGGCCCUACUGCUCAGAGGAGCGGGAGGAGAAGCCCGUUGUUUAUAUGGCUCAUCUCCGCACCAUCUGGAGGACCCAUCCCUCUCUGAGCUGGAGAAUUUUUCUUCUGAAAUAAUCAACUUCAAGUCCAUGGAGGACCUCGUGGAUGAAUAUGACAAGAAGCUCAAGGUCUGCUUUCGGAACCACAACGCCAAGACCGAGAACCCCGUGCCGGUGAAGAACCAAUUACAGAUCCAGGAGGAGGAGGAGACCCUUCAGGACGAGGAGUAAGAAGUCUUAAUUGUCCUCUCCUGCUCCACAUGACAGUCUAGUAGCCUGGGCUCCUUGACCUAGAGCUAGUUGCUAUCUAUGGAUUUGCAUGGGACUUUUUUAUGCUACCCGUGGGGGCAAUAUUCAGGUCUCUUCUGAGAUUUUUCUCUGCACGUCCCUUUACAGGGAGAUACCUGCAGAAAGCUUUUUUAUCUUGAAACUUAGAGGAAUGAGGAUUUUAGGUUUUCUUAGAUAGAUAAUAGAAUUUUAGAAACAGAAAAUUUUGCCGUCCUAGGUAUAGUGGUUCAUACUGCAAUCCCAGCACUUAGGAGGCUGAGGCAAGAGGGUUGCCACAAGUUUGAGGCCAGCCUGGGCUACACUGUGAGUCUCUGACACAUAAACACCAAAAAGAAAAGGAAAAAAGAAAAAUUUACAGCCACACCACUUUCUUUUGUUGUUUUGAGACAGUCUCGCUAUGUCAGCCAGGCUAUGAAGGCCAAGCUGGCCUUGAAUGUGCAUUCUUCUUGCCUCAGCCUCCUGAAUGCUGGGAUGACAGGUGUGCACCACCAUGCCAAGGCAGCUUUCUUGAUAUCAGUGGUAACCAACUCAGAUAUUAGAAAUAAGGACCAGAAAACAAUGAACUGUGAUAGAGGAAUCUGUUAUUGGACCAAUUUGCCUCAAGAAGCACCAGAGUUAUGAAAAUCUUAAAACUGUUUAUAAUUCUGCAGUCUUGGAAAAUUUUCCACAAUACUAGAUAUGUACAAAUAAGAAAGCAAACUGAACCAAGAGUGAAGGGAAUUAUCCGGGACAAAAUAAACAGAGAGCCGAGUGACAUAGUUUUUGAGGAUGCAGAUUCUGUGGGUCACUUACUGGCUAUCUCCCGAAGUCCUAAUAGUUGUUAGGGAAAAGGAAUUGGAGAAAAGUAUUAUUCAAGGAGGGACUGGAGAGAGAAGGGGAUAAUCUGUUAUAUUAAGGGGGUUUUAGGCAUUUAGAAAAAUAUGUAUGUGUUCCUGAUAAAGUACAAUACGCACCAAUUCUUUUUUUUAUUGGUACAUUUUAGAUGUACUUAAUGAUCACAUUCAUCAUAGGGAAUUUGUACUUGUGCAUGAUACAUCUUGCUUCUUUUUCUCCCAUCCCCUUCCCCUCCCUUUAAUCCCUCUUCUCCUCCUUGUUUACAAAAGCUUUGUUUCCAUUUUUCCCUUGUCCCUUUUUCUUUUUCUCCUCCCCCUCCUUUGUUCUCUUUCUCAUUUGAACAUUUCCUUUCCGUUUUCCAAUAUGUUUUAACUAUUUUGGUCCUUAUUUGUACUUUCGGUUUCUCACACCAGAGAAACAACACGGUAUUUAAACACCUGUGCCUGAUUGUACCAAUUCUUUAGGAAACACAAUAAAUGUCAAGUAGUUGCUCAUGGAAAAAAAAAAAUCUCCAACUAUGACCAUGAAUUUGUCUAUUUUUUCCUUUAGUCCUAGCAGUUUUUGCUUUAUCUACCUUUACAUUCUGUUAUUAGUUGCAUGCAUUUUUAUAAUUAUUACAUCUCCCUGAUGAAUAUGAAAUGUCCCUUUUUAUAUUGUACAUUUAUUUUCAGCCGUAUCUUUACAUUUAAAACAAAUGUUUUGUAGACAGUUUGUAGGGAGCUCUUGCUAUGACAAUCCAUGCUCUUUUUUUUUUUUUUUGGUACUGGGGAUCGAUCUCAGGACCUUGCACUUGUGAGGCAGGCCCUGGAACCACUGAGCUAAAUCCCUGGCCUCAAUCCAUG